rnacentral:miRNA from 1 species
UAAUGCUGCAAUGUAAACAUUGCAGUUUUUCUGGAACUGCAAUGUUUUACAUUGCAGCACUA